GGCAACUUAGAAAUAGGAAAGGAGGCUGUGUGUGCUUGUGUGUGUGCCUGUGCACGUCGGUGCGUGGGGCUUGUGUGUCUUUGUGCCAGCUGUGAAGGCCUGGAAACGUCUUCAGAGGGCAGUUAGGCAGAGCUGCGCCUUCCUUGAAGGGAACCUGAUGGUCGGACAUCCAGUUUACGAAAUAGGCCUGAUCUUUUGACCAGAGAGGAAUUAAAAUGACGGUUCCUCGUGGUGGCAGUGCCUGUCAGCGGCGUGGAGCUUCCUUGAAGGAUUUCCUGAGCCUUGUGGAUGUAAAGUGAGUCUCGGCCGCCUGAGGAAUGACGUUGAUGGAAGCACUCUCUCGGGUGGCCCAGCCCCGCCAUGUUUCUGGAUGCUAACGGUGGUUUUAGGGAGGCCCUGGCUGAGCGCCUUGUGGAUUCCUGCAGCCUGGAUGCCCGUCGGGGACAGAGGACCGAAGCUUCCCGCCCUUGCCGCCGAUGGGACGGCUCACUUGGGACUCAGCCAGCUCCCUCGGGGGCUCCCCAUGAAACAAUCCUGUUACACCUGGGAUUUAGGUGCCUUGAAUCUGAAAAAAUACAUAUCCGUUCAAUACUCCAGAGGGACUUGAAAACUGUUCUUCCCUGAACUAAAGCUGGAAUAUCAUGGGAUUUGAAGAAUCAAGGUAAAGGAUUUUCUCCUCUUGAGCCUUAUGGAACCAAAGAUGGCGAUUGGAAUUGGUGACCUCUUGCAACACAACUUGGGGUGUGGUUUUUGACUGCUUGGCCCGGCUUCCUGUGCUUGGGAAGGUGGUCUCCCAUAACCCUGAUGUGCAGGACCCGGUUCGCAGCGUUUGGUCGCCUGGACCUUGUGCCAGGGUGCAAUCCCUCUGUCCCCAGCUGAGGAAGGAGUCCACCGUCUCCUAGGUGACACCCCAUGUUUUUCCUCCUGGCAGAAGGUGAGGAUGCUCCAGCCAUCCUGCUGAGAUGUGUGGAGCCUGCGCUGGGGAGAGGACAGAAGCCCACGCUCCUGGUCCAGGCCAUCAGUUUGGGGAGAAGGGGUGUACGUAGAUGUGCAGCCACCUUUUCUGGGAUCCUGCCUCCCAGCAGCACCUGCAGGGCUGGAGUGAGAUGUUCCCGUGUCUGGGGAAAUGGCAGAUGGGAGUCCAGUCACUGGGGUGGAAGAUCUGGAAGCUGGAAGAACCGUCCUGUUGAUGGAAGAAAGGCUUGGCAGUACCAGUGCCUCGUAGCAGUGGUUUCGGUCUUCAAGCCUUGUACUCAGUAUGUUGGAAACAUUCUCUUCCCGCAAAUCACGAAAGCGGAUGCAGACCCAGGCCGCGUGAGUGUGGUUUCAGGCUGCCGCUCCUCCUGCCCCAACUUCCGAAUUAUCCCAUCCGCGCACUGCACUCUUCAGAGCUGCCUGUGUGAGAGCUGUCCGUUUAUCGGCAGACGGAUCUCUUAAGAGGAAGACAGAGCAUCAGGGAAGUCAGGGGAAGAGUAACGCUCACCAGAACGAUGUGACUGUGGUGACCCACUCCCUGCAAGUCACCAAGAGCUAGAAGAAUAGGAUUUGGAAUUUAUUCUGAGAAUUUGUAGGGAGCCUGGCGUGCGCCUCCAUGGCUAAAGGCAGCAUAUAUUGCUCUUUGGGGAAAACUAUUUGCCAGGAGUUAUCAAAGCAUCACUUUGACCUUGUGUCCCUAUUUGGGGAAUGUGUUUCAAAGACAUGCUCCAGGAGGAGAGGAGGCGGUGGUGUGCAGGAAGCGGUUUUUUUUUAGAGUCUGAUGCAUUUAGGGGCAAAAUUGGAAACAAGAUGGCCCUCGGGGACACAUGGUAUUUCUGUGCCACCAGAUCUUUCCCGGAUGUCUGGAGGAUCAUGGUGGAGAAGAGGAGGCCACCUUAAGGACAGCAGUGACAAUCCGUGAUGCGACAAUGACAUACAGCAUUGUACCCUUCCUGGGAGUAGGGGAAGUUGCAUAGAGAGAGAGAUCAGCUCUUCAUUGGGAAGCAGCUGUCAGACUCCUGCUACUUCCGAUGAGAAAACUGCUACUCAGAGAUGUUAAACACCUUGGCAGAGAUCACACAGCUAGUAAGUGACAAAGAUGAAAGUCCAAGGGUGAAGGUCAUUUCCAGUCACUACGGUGCCCCACGAGCCCAGGGAUGAAUGUGGUCCUCCUGGAAUUGGACAGGUCUGCUCUUAAUGAACAGGUUUGGAUGGUGAGUGUCAUUUUGUCUUCUCUCCCCCUCUUUAUCUCUGAGAUUUUGAUCCUGACUUCUUCUUUCCAGGAGACUGGGAACCACUUCACAUAGGAGAUGGUCCCAGCAGUAACACUGACCCAGAGAGAAGUGAAUCUUUUGCCCGGUGACUAGAAGACACAUGAAACUGGAGAAUGGAGCCUAGAACCUCACCACGUUUCCCUCAUAUAGGAGAGCACACCCCUCCCUUUCACCCCCUCUCCCAAAAUACAUAAUACCUUUUACUGGUGAUUUGGUCACUGCUGAGCUAUCUUCAUUUAAUGUGUUUUUGACAGACUAGUUGGUCUGGAAAUUUUCUUUUCAAUUAAACUUCCUUGUUAAACUGCCUUGGUUUUGAAAGGAUUCCAUUAGGAUGGCUAAUUAUAUAGCAGUUACUACAAGGGGAUAUUUGCACUCAAUUUCAGCUCUUAGGUAAUUCCAAUCAAAUGCUUUCUCUUUUCCUCCCUGGAGCUGUGUGCGACCAUCUUCCUCUCACACUGCAGGCUUCUCAUAAGUUAUUUUUGGAAUUUCGAAUCAAAACAGCAAUUUUGGCGGAUGGGAGAGGGAGUAGAUGCUCUAGCCUAGCAGAGUAAACCAUAUGUACUGAUAAAAACAGCCAAAGAUUCAGUGCCUUUAAAAAGCAGCAAAAUCAUCGCCCUCUGUGAAGGUUAAAUUUGGGGGACCUACAAACUAUCCGUGAUACUAUCAUAUUCCUUUGUGAACGCUAACUGAAGUCAAAAACAGUUGAGAUGCCUUUACAAUUACCAGAGAUUUGUUCAUUUGCAAAGUGGUGUCGUGGUCAUUUUGUUUCAAGAUGGCGGGUCUUGGCGGAGUUUACUGAGGACUCUGUUUCAGCUACUGGAUCUGUCAUGAAACCUGGAGAUCACUUUAUUUUCCCACUCUGCACUGUUUUCUUGUUUAACCAGAGCAUAUGGAACAUACCUGAUUAUGCAUACCAAGUGGGCAGACCUCCCCCCUCACCCAUUAGAGUAUAAGCUCCCUGUGGGCAGGGGCUGUAUUUUUCAUCUUGUUCUAUUCCUGGUGCAUAGUUAGUGCUCAAAUAAUUGAGUGAAUAGAUAGAUGAAUGAAUAGUGUCCUAGUCCUAUUUUUUUCUUUUUAAAAAAGCAAUCAUUUAUUACAUAAACAGUAACUGAAUGCUUUCACCUUGGGGAAAAAAACAAAACAAAACAACUUUCCUAACCGGCUAAUAUCCUUUUUUUUUCUUUUUUUUUUAAGAGUGUACAAUUUGGUAUUUUUUUUCUUAUUAGUAAUGUAUAUAUGGCAGUCCCAGUCUCCCAGUUCAUUCCCCCCCAACCCUCCCACUUUCUCCACUUGGUGUCCAUAUAUUUGUUCUCUACAUUUGUGUCUCUAUUUCUGAUUUUUUUUUCAAACAGGCUAAUAUCCUUUUUGAUCACCACCCGCAAUUCUUGUUUCUUCAUCGCCUCUGCUUAGGUUAUCACUUUGAUUUUUUUUUUCUUAUUUAUUUAUUUAUUUAUUUAUUUAUUUAUUUAUUUUUGACUGCGUUGGGUCUUUGUUGCUGCGCACAGGCUUUCGCUAGUUGAGGUGAGCAGGGGCUACUCUUUGUUGCAGUGCACGGGUUUCUCAUUGCGUGACUUCUCUUGUUGCAGAGCACGGGCUCUACACAUGUGGGUUCAGUAGUUGUGGCACACGGGCUUGGUUGCUCCACAGCAUGUGGGACCUUCCUGGACCAGGGCUUGAACCCAUGUUCCCUGCAUUGGCCGGUGGAUUCUUAACCACUGGCCACCAGGGAAAUCCCAGGUUAUCACUUUGGAACACAUCCUUGCAGACCUUUCCAGUGCGCGUCUGCACACACACACACACAACACACAGAGUACUGUUUUUGAUAAACAGGUUUUUUUCUCAACUUGCCUUCCCCCACUCAGCCAUAUAUCAAGGAGCGCUAUCCAUGUUAGCCGCCUUAUUCUCUGUAACUGCUACAUAGUUUUAUUACAUUGUGUGGAUAUAAUACCUUUUAUUUGGACCAAAUGAAUAUACUCUUUAGCUGCUGUCAUGCUCCCUAUAGUUCAGGAUCCCUUCUCCUGUACAUGUUGACAGACUAGCCAUGUCCUCUGCUGUCUUUUCAUAGCUAUAGCACAUUUCAGGAAAAUCAGCUCCGGGCCUCAGAGAUUAUCCCCAAUCUGUAGACAGAUCACGUGAAAUGCUAAGGAUUGCCAGAGGAACCUGAACACCCUUGUCUGCAGAAGCUCAGGGUGUGUACUCAGCCCUGGGAAUCCCACAGGUCUGAAUAGGGAGUAAUAUUAGAGCUGGUGCCAGCUCUGCCCCUAGCCAGGUGGGUUUCCCUCGGCAGGUCAUUUCUUCUCCCUGUACCUUACUUUUUCUCAUGUGUGCAGUGGGCUCAGUGAGCCUCUUUCAGCUCUUAGAGUCUGAAAAAUAGGGUUUACAUAGUGCCACCAGACUGACAUACAGAGUAUAUUAGCUUACACGCUGCUUUGUGUCAGAAUGGGAAAGGGGUUAUUUAAAACUCUAUUUAAAUUUUCAUUUAAAUUAAAUGUAUUUUAUUAUAUUUUAAUUAAAAUAUAUUUUUAAAUUUUUUAAAUAGAGAUUUGGCCCAGAGCUCUUAGAUGUCACAAACAGUCCAUGAUUGGCCAGGAAUGUAUAGCCUUUGGGUAUUACUCUUCUUUCUUAUGACUGUAUUAUUGCAUUAAAAUGUGUAUAUAUA